rnacentral:rRNA from 1 species
AACGAACGCUGGCGGCAUGCCUAACACAUGCAAGUCGAACGAGACCUUCGGGUCUAGUGGCGCACGGGUGCGUAACGCGUGGGAACCUGCCCUUAGGUUCGGAAUAACUCCCCGAAAGGGGUGCUAAUACCGGAUAAUGUCUUCGGACCAAAGAUUUAUCGCCUUUGGAUGGGCCCGCGUUGGAUUAGCUAGUUGGUAGGGUAAAAGCCUACCAAGGCGACGAUCCAUAGCUGGUCUGAGAGGAUGAUCAGCCACACUGGGACUGAGACACGGCCCAGACCCCCACGGAGGGCAGAAGGGGGGAAAUUGGGACAGUGGGCGAAAGCCUAAUCCAGCAAUGCCGGGGGAGUGAGGAAGGCCUUAGGGUUGAAAGGCUCUUUUACCCGGGAUGAAAAUGACGGUCCCGGGAAAAAAAGCCCCGCCUAACUCCGU